UUGCCACAUCAGUCUUGUUCAGACAGUCACAGCCAGAAGCUACUGUUUCAACAGCUAAAUGUCAGACCAGCGCAUCUGCAACUUUCUGGGAAAAAAAAGAAUAAAGCAAGGAAGCCAAAGGGAAGAAGUGUUGUACUGCUUGAGAGCCCCAGAACCCCAGUCCUUCUGCACGGAGUUCUCUUGCCAAAGGACAAGACCAAAAAUAAUCCCAGUAUGUCUGCAUAUAGCUUUUGGCUGGGGAAAGAAUUUUGUUACUUGGCCACACGGCUUCGUCUAGGGUAAUUGGUCGCAAAGGAAAUAAUUUGCUCAGCUUGGGUUAAGACAAACAACCAAACUAGAUGAUAGGGGCUUGGAUCAGAAGAUAUCAGAUAUAAUGUUGGAGUAAUUGCCAGCCCCAUAAAGCACUGGAAGGUGAGCUACACACCACAGUGGGAUUGAUUCUUGUUGGGAUAAAUUCCUUUAAGUGCUUGACAGAACGAGUCUGGAACCAUCUCCAAACCCCACCAGUUCUAGGCUUGUGGUUUGUCUGCCUGUGAAGUAAGGACAUAUCAUGGUUUUGCGUGCAUCCUGAGAGAAGCCUUGCUUAUUUCCAUAUAGAGGUAUAUAGAUCUGUGUGUGUUUCUGUAUGACUUGGGUGCUACCCAAGACAUGCCAGGAUUCUAUAAAUAGUCUCUGGAUCCUAGCUGCUUUCUACCGGUUCUAGCACCACUAAUCAGGGAAGUUCAGUGUUGGAGUGAGGCAGAUAUGCAAAGCAUUGGUAUUGUCUUCCUACCGGAAGGGCUGAGGUCUAAUCGUGGAAGCUGUUGUCAGCCACAAAAGUUUCAAGCAAUGAUAUUGUUAUGAAAAACGGCAAACAAAACCCCAUAGCCUUCAGAAGUCCUGGAGUGUGAGAAUCAGGUGUCCCUACCUCGCAGAAUCUAAUCCCAUUUCUGUUCUGCUGUUAAGGUUCAGAUCAUUCAAAAUCCCAUCUUUUUAAAAUGUAUUUAUUGUUGGUCAUCUGCUGUGUGCAUGUAGGUGGUUCGGUAUAAGUGACCACUGCAACAGUCAGAAGACAACCGUUUGUGUCUGACCUCACUUUUCUCAUUGCACAAGAGAGGGUCUCCUGAUGCUUGCCACUCCUACGCCAGGCGAGUCAUUCUGCAAGCUUCUGUGCCGUCUCCAGUCUCUGCCCCUCAUUUCUCUGUAGGCUGCUGAGACUACGACCAUACAAGACCAAGUCUGGUCGUAUGUGAGUUCUGGAUUCGGCCCUCAGCUCUUUGGUUUAAUGGCAAGCACUUACCUAUUGAACCAUCCCCCUGUUCGCUUUGACAAUGCAAAUUCUUAAGAACCAUUCUUAUCCCUGUGGAGGUGGAGGGAAAUGUUAAAAAUUCUGGACAAGGGGGAUAGGACCUUCCAGACCUGAUUCUUCAGGCAUUUUGUGACUACUUGUGUCCUCCAGGUACAGAUGUGUUUGGUAGACUGUGUAUUGGUUUAAAAACUCUACCUAGGUGAGAUAUGAACCUGUCUAAAAGCUUUCUAAAAACUCAAACAAACUAAACAACAAAAGCCCCUAACAUUACUGCUAUUAAAUUUGAAGUAUUUUGAGGCUAAUACCUUUUAAUUCAGGAAAAGUAAGAGCUCCUUAGAGUAGAUGGUUUUGUAGUUCUCUCUUCUCUUUUCUUCAUUUUCCAUGAAAACUCAAUAUCUGGCAAACACACUGGUCCUUCUCUCUGAAUGGUUUCUGCUGAUAUCAGGCUAUACUGAUCUCAGUGUCAGGAUUCAUUUCUCAUGAAAUAUCAGGAGUCCCUUCGAAAUAUAUUCUCUUAAUGCCACCGUGGUGGAUUUGCUAAGCAAAGGUUUUACAACUUACAUCAAGACAAAUGAAGAUUUUUUUUUUCAUAAACUAUUUCUGGGGCAUUCCCCAGCAAUCCAUUUAGAUCUUGUGAUAUGGGGAUGUCAACAUCGUGAUUUUCCAAAUAGACUUCCUUUUUGAAGGGAUAGAGUAAAACAUAUAAAUAUUUCAUAAGAAGGCUCAUAAAUCAGUGCUAUAUUUAGAAAUAUGACCAAUGAGUCUACAGUUAUGUGCAAAUAAAUUUUGAGUAGAUUCUUCUAAGGCGUGAUACUACCCCAUGACUUUCUGGAAGACAGACAGCUGCACUUUUUUUGUGAUGUCUUCAGCAACUUUGGUGCUGUAGAAAAAAUUUGCAUAUAUCUUAUAAAUUCCACUGAAAGUACCUAAAGAGGACAUCUGUUCCCGACCAAUCUGUACUCGUCAUCUGGCCAUCAGCUUUCAAGGCUGCCCUAUUUGAUUCCAGGAUGCCAAUCAGACUGGGCAGAGAUAUGAACUGCUUACACAACAUGAACAUUAUGCACCCCUUAUGCCUUAAGAGUCAUAAGUAAAUGGAUAAACAAAUAAAGUAAUAUUAAAAAUAUAGUAACAGUAUUUUCACUCCGACCACCGUGCUAUCUUUCCUACUCCCUUAUCUUCUCUUCCUCUCUCCUCUUCUCUCGCCAUCUCUCUGUCUCCUCAAAUGCUAUGUCAAUCGCUUCCAGGGGAGCCUACGCUUUUGUUAUGACAUUAUUUAUUUUAAUUUCUUUUUCAUUUCUCUUUUCUGAGUAGAACUUUGCUUUUUGAUCUCUCCAUUCACUCUAUUAAACAUAGUGUUUGACAUAAAUUAUAAGACUCUUAAUGCUUCUACUGUUAAGGGUCCAGCAACACAAACAAACAAAGAAAUAAAACAAAGAAGUUUCAAGUAAGAGGAAGAGCCCAUUGGAGCCGCAAUCACCUGAGAGUCAGGUGAUCUGGUUUCUUGCUGGCUGCGUUUGGGGUAUUUCUCCGCACUGCAAUUCUUCUGUGUGGGUCUUUGUUUAAAGAGGAAUGUUGCAUAUUAUUAUUCUAAUCAGACGUAGUUUCUGAGAAGUUCAGCUAUUCUUUUUCUCUUUCUUUCAAAGUGAUUUAGUGAGCUAUCAGCUACCUUGAUUAGAUAGUUAGCCAAAUGGGCCCGGGCUUAAGCACGACCUCAAGCCUUGUGAUCUUCAAAAAGGACGGACUAGAUGAAAAGAAAGGGGUCCUGGUCACAAACCCUCCACUGUAAUGGGGAAAGAGAUUGUGUCACAAUGGAGGGUCUUACUAGAUAGCAAGAAUUGUCACUGAUAUGUAAUCCCUUAGUGUUCUCAUGAGGAAUAACAGAUGUAGAGAAGCUUUUCUGUUUGUGCAUAUCUCAAAGGAGGGGAAGCUUUGAUUCACUGUUACACUUUAGAUGCUAUUUUUCUAAGUAGGACGCCGAGAUUUGAGGAGCGAGUGUAGAGUGCCUUAUUAUUGUCCUCUCUUCAAGAUUUGCUCAGACUUCUUAUCUCACGGACACUCCUCAGAACAGCAUGGACACGGACUCAGACCACGUACCUGUGAGAUGCCAGAAAGCUCAGAGGCAGAAAGAAGAAGUCCCAUGACUUCUUUCAGCUACUUCACUGUCCAAAGAACUGAUCUGUGCAGGCUUUGAACAAAAGAAGUGGCAGCUGCUUCAUUCUCAGGAGAGGUCUAAGGAAGGUGACUGUGGAGAGAACGCCGGUAACUCGAGUACACGGGGAACAGUAUCUUCACAAGCUCCCACUCUAAAUCCCGGGCUUCAAAAACAGCUUUGCUCAUUGAGGAAACUGAAAGACGUACAAGCAAAACAGAAAAGCCUCCACCCAGGGAAAUAAAAGCAAAGGGAAGCUUCCCAAGAGA